AUCGCUUCUGGCGUAUGGCCUCAGAUCAAGUGUAGUUUCUGUUCUUAUCAUUUUAAUAUCUGAUAGGCCACCUAUGAGGAGGGUAUAUAUUAAAUUAUGGCCAGCAGCCAUA
rnacentral:snRNA from 1 species